CUUGUGCUCUCAAAAUUUUUGGUCAACUACAUUAUUCAGCUCUGGUAGCGAAACAACAACAACAACUACUACUACUCACACUUAACAACAUUUAGAAUUGUAACUAAAACAGAUCACAAGCCAAAAACAAACAAAGAAAAACCUAAAGAAAUAUCAACCAAAAGUGUGCAAAUCAAAAAGAUUCUACAAUCCGAAUCGAAAAUAAAAACAUAAGAACCACAAAAGCAGCAGCAGCAGAAAGAGACACAGAGAGCAGCGAAAAGUUAACUGCGAAUUCAUCGGCUGAAGCAAAGCAGCGGAGCCCAAGUGCAAGCGAGACGGCAGCAGAGCUCCGCUGCAAGGCAACGGGAUAGAAAGAGAGAUAAAUAGAGAGACAGCGCAGCAGCGAUAAAGAGUUUGAGCAGGCGGGAGAGCGAGUAACGGCGGCGA
rnacentral:sRNA from 1 species